GUUUUUCAAAAAAAAAAUAAUAAAAAAAAAAAACCCCAAAUUUCCCUAACUUGAAAUCCUUACAUGAGAAAGAAACAACUGAUCUCAUAGUCAGAGGACGAAAGAGAAGAAGCAGUAUUUCGUGGCUCAAGAAAUGCCAGUUACCAAAUUCAGAUGAACCCUAGAGCCUAGAUACAAAUUUCACUCUCAAACUCAAAGCCACUUGUCGUGAAUUGCUUUUCCCAAACUGGCAAGAUUUUUGGCAUGGCUGAGAAACAUAAUGCAAAUUCAAGAUACAUAUACUUACACGAGACUGAUAAAUUGCCUGCACAAGCAGUUGAUAUUCACCAUUUAGUUACCAGGAAAAAUCAUCGAUGGACUGUAGUUGCAAGCUUUUCAGCUUUUGUUUUCCUUUUAAAUGUAUUCUAUCUAAUGCUGAAACAGGAUAUAUUAGUUUCUGUGCUUCUCUUGUACUUGAUCACUGGCGUGGCCUUCCUCAAAUUAUUGCGACAGAAAAUUGUUGAGAAAGAGUGUGUUGUUAUCAUCCCAGCUUUUGGAGUCCAGCUUGAAACCCAUUAUAGAAGUGGGAGAGCUGUCCGUCACUUUGUUCCCAUUGACAAGAUUUUGAAGCCUGUACUGAACGAAUGUGUGACGCCAGUUACAUGUUAUUGGAGCUUGGCAUUAAUUGUACGUGAAGAAGAUGAAUUGAUGUUAGUUUUUAAGGAAGUGCGACCCCCGCUUAAGAUGUUGUUACCAAUUUGGAAGGCGCUUUGUGCUGCUACUGAUUCCAGCGGAAGCUUAGAGACAUAAUCAGACACCCAGCUAAAUUUUUUGUGAGGUGGGAAACGUGAACUAAUUCUGAGGCUUUCAUCUGAAGCACUGAGAAUUUGAGACUAGGAAUUAAUUCUAGGAAGAUGUGCUAACUACGCUGAUCAGGAGAUGUACUGCAGUAACUUCAGAGUUGAAAUCCUUUUUGAAGAUUAUGGAAACACAAAAAGCUAUAGAUCUUAAGUUGCUGAAUGGUCUGGUAAAUCGACCCCUUGCUGAUAUUUUUUUGGCUUAUGAAGCUGUUUUCAGCUUCAUAAUAAGCUAUGAAAAGGAAUUGUACUCGAGCGUUAGUUGCAUAUAAAGAUGUCAAAUGACAUGCAGAUAUAAGAGAUACGGGUUCCAGCUUGUUAAAAUUUUUCAGUUAGUAUCGCGUGGUUCAGAAAAAAGCAGUUAUUGGGAUGAGAAUUGGGAUGAGACUGCAUAAUUGUCCGUGGCAUUGUUAUGUAUAAAUAUGGAGCACACUAUAUGUUCUUUGAAUAAGCUGUCUAUUUCUCUGAACUACGAAUGGUGCUUGUGUUUCAGAUGCUUGUAGUUUAUAGUGUUAUGGAGUUCUUAAAUCUUAGUUCUUAUUUUCAUAGUGGCCAAGUCAGAUUAAAUCUAAGGUCACAAAGCAAAUUUUGACUCUCAUGUUUAACUA